GACGGAGGAUGCAAGCGUUAUCCGGAAUGAUUGGGCGUAAAGCGUCCGCAGGUGGCAAAUCAAGUCUGCUGUUAAAGCGCAGGGCUUAACUCUGUAAAGGCAGUGGAAACUGAUUAGCUAGAGUGUGGUAGGGGCAGAGGGAAUUCCCAGUGUAGCGGUGAAAUGCGUAGAUAUUGGGAGGAACACCAGUGGCGAAGGCGGCUCACUGGACCGGAACUGACGCUGAGGCGCGAAAGCGUGGGGAGCAAACAGG
rnacentral:rRNA from 1 species